UACGUAGGGGGCAAGCGUUAUCCGGAUUUACUGGGUGUAAAGGGAGCGUAGACGGCAGCACAAGUCUGGAGUGAAAUCCCAUGGCUUAACCAUGGAACUGCUUUGGAAACUGUGCAGCUGGAGUGCAGGAGAGGUAAGCGGAAUUCCUAGUGUAGCGGUGAAAUGCGUAGAUAUUAGGAGGAACACCAGUGGCGAAGGCGGCUUACUGGACUGUAACUGACGUUGAGGCUCGAAAGCGUGGGGAGCAAACAGG
rnacentral:rRNA from 1 species